GAAAACUAUUUUUACCGGGCCCAGAAUGUUAUCAUUGAUCUGAGACUAUGGAAAUUUUGGGCACUCGUUUGCAUAUUAUUUUGGAUUUUAUAAUGAUUCGGUCUUUAUUUUAAUUGAAAGAAAUCUUUUAUUUUUUAGGCACAGCCCACUCAAACUGCCCAGCCCUGCCGCGUGCAGCCCAUUUUUACUGCCCGCAGCCCACCCCCGCUCUUUUCUCCUUCUUCAUUUUAUUUUCUACCUCCUAGGCUGCGCCGAGACAGCCCAGCCCACCUAUUCCUUUUUCCUCUUUUCUUUUCCCCAUUUUUUCCCUGGGCCGAACCCUCUCGCUCCCUGGCCCAUCUUCCUGCCCCAGCGGCGCGUCCCGGUCCAAGGGAGGGAUCCUCUCGACUUCCAGAACGCACGCCAGCCGCCUCUGCUUUGAAUCCCAUCAAAUCCGCUGUUUCUUGCAAGAUCGACACCACCAAAUUAAUCCUUAUCACUCCACGAACUGAUUCAGCUCAUCACUUAUCCGUUUGUCCUCUUAAUCACCUUUUGGAACUAACACGCCCCGAAAGCCGAACAUCGGCAACUAACUCUGACUUCCCAACUCGUCUCGUAGUAAAACCCACUUCCCAGCCCGUCAACUCUAACCCCUGCGGCUGCCAUCCUUUAUGAAACUUUUUUUUUAGAAACUUUUUGAAAGAACAGCAGGUAACGCCUCUUCUAAUUUCACUUUUUUUUCUAAAAUACAUCCAAAUAGGUGUAUCAUUGUAUUAAAGAAGGAGAUGCCGCGAUACGGGUACAAGCCCUGGAGGGCGAAUACAAAUCGAUUAGCGCUCCACUCUCUCGGUAAGCCAUGACCACUAAGAACACUUGCCCUCGUCCAAGCAUCCGCUUCAGCUCCACACGCUCGGACAAAAUCACGAAUGUCAACCCUAGCAUGAUCAAAGACGACCCGGUUCCUAAACUUCCAGAGGGACCAGAAAAGGAGAAUCGAACUCGUUGUCUCUUCCCGAAAGCGGAAUCGACGUCCACCAGCCCACAAGGGAGGCCUCCGGCCCAGGUAACCAGUU
rnacentral:lncRNA from 1 species